ACAUUACUUGCGAUACCACAGACAACAUUGCGAAGACCAUUGAAACCAAGCAGAGGGAAUUACACUCACAGCCUGGCUCAGAGAGACACUGGUGGCUACCAAACGCAGCUCAGCUCUUGAACUUAGACAUUGAUUGUUUAACGGAAGUCAAAAAUCAUCUGUUGACAUAGUCUUAAGCAAAUUGUUUUCAUUUCAUGUAAUGUAUUAAAACUGUUUGCUUUACAGCA
rnacentral:sRNA from 1 species